UCUAUGGGGACUCUAUGGGGGUCUAUGAGGACUCUAUGGGGGUCUAUGGGGUCUCUAUGGGGCUCUAUGGGGUCCCUAUGGGUCCCUAUGUCCCACCACCGCCAAUGGGGCGCCCAUCCCCGGCCCUACAAGUGGGGGGGGGAAAGGGGGGGGGAGAUAUGGGGUCUAUGGGGCUCUAUGGGGGUCUAUGGGGGUCUAUGGGGGCUCUAUGGGGGUCUAUGGGGGCUCCAUGGGGCUCUAUGGGGCUCUAUGGGGGCCUAUGGGGGCUCUAUGGGGCUCUAUGAGGCUCAAUGGGGGUCUAUGAGGCUCUAUGGGGUCUCCAUGGGACUCUAUGGGGCUCUAUGGAGGUCUAUGGGGGUCUAUGGGUCUCUAUGCAUUCUCUAUGGGGCUCUAUGGAGGUCUAUGAGGACUCUAUGGGGACUCUAUAAGGACUCUAUGGGGAUCUAUGGGAGUCUAUGGGGGCCUAUGGGGGCUCUAUGGGGCUCUAUGGGGUCUCUAUGGGGCUCUAUGGGUCCCUAUGUCCCACCACCGCCAAUGGGGCGCCCAUCCCCGGCCCUACAAGUGGGGGGGGGAAAGGGGGGGGAGAUAUGGGGUCUAUGGGGCUCUAGGGGGGUCUAUGGGGGUCUAUGAG
ensembl:lncRNA